rnacentral:rRNA from 1 species
UACAGAGGUCUCAAGCGUUGUUCGGAUUCAUCGGGCGUAAAGGGUGCGUAGGUGGCGUGGUAAGUCGGAUGUGAAAUCCCGGGGCUCAACCCCGGAACUGCAUUCGAUACUGCCUUGCUAGAGUACUGGAGAGGAGAUUGGAAUUUACGGUGUAGCAGUGAAAUGCGUAGAUAUCGUAAGGAAGACCAGUGGCGAAGGCGGAUCUCUGGACAGUUACUGACACUGAGGCACGAAGGCCAGGGGAGCAAACGGG